rnacentral:rRNA from 1 species
UGGGGGAUAUUGCACAAUGGGGGGAACCCUGAUGCAGCGACGCCGCGUGGGUGAAGAAGCGCCUCGGCGCGUAAAGCCCUGUCAGCAGGGAAGAAAAUGACGGUACCUGAAGAAGAAGCCCCGGCUAACUACGUGCCAGCAGCCACGGUAAUCUCGAUCU